rnacentral:rRNA from 1 species
GACGAACGCUGGCGGCGUGCUUAACACAUGCAAGUCGAACGGAAAGGCCCUGCUUUUGUGGGGUGCUCGAGUGGCGAACGGGUGAGUAACACGUGAGUAACCUGCCCUUGACUUUGGGAUAACUUCAGGAAACUGGGGCUAAUACCGGAUAGGAGCUCCUGCUGCAUGGUGGGGGUUGGAAAGUUUCGGCGGUUGGGGAUGGACUCGCGGCUUAUCAGCUUGUUGGUGGGGUAGUGGCCUACCAAGGCUUUGACGGGUAGCCGGCCUGAGAGGGUGACCGGCCACAUUGGGACUGAGAUACGGCCCAGACUCCUACGGGAGGCAGCAGUGGGGAAUAUUGCACAAUGGGCGGAAGCCUGAUGCAGCAACGCCGCGUGCGGGAUGACGGCCUUCGGGUUGUAAACCGCUUUCGCCUGUGACGAAGCGUGAGUGACGGUAAUGGGUAAAGAAGCACCGGCUAACUACGUGCCAGCAGCCGCGGUGAUACGUAGGGUGCGAGCGUUGUCCGGAUUUAUUGGGCGUAAAGGGCUCGUAGGUGGUUGAUCGCGUCGGAAGUGUAAUCUUGGGGCUUAACCCUGAGCGUGCUUUCGAUACGGGUUGACUUGAGGAAGGUAGGGGAGAAUGGAAUUCCUGGUGGAGCGGUGGAAUGCGCAGAUAUCAGGAGGAACACCAGUGGCGAAGGCGGUUCUCUGGGCCUUUCCUGACGCUGAGGAGCGAAAGCGUGGGGAGCGAACAGGCUUAGAUACCCUGGUAGUCCACGCUGUAAACGGUGGGUACUAGGUGUGGGGUCCAUUCCACGGGUUCCGUGCCGUAGCUAACGCUUUAAGUACCCCGCCUGGGGAGUACGGCCGCAAGGCUAAAACUCAAAGGAAUUGACGGGGCCCCGCACAAGCGGCGGAGCAUGCGGAUUAAUUCGAUGCAACGCGUAGAACCUUACCUGGGUUUGACAUGGAUCGGGAGUGCUCAGAGAUGGGUGUGCCUCUUUUGGGGUCGGUUCACAGGUGGUGCAUGGCUGUCGUCAGCUCGUGUCGUGAGAUGUUGGGUUAAGUCCCGCAACGAGCGCAACCCUUGUUCACUGUUGCCAGCACGUUAUGGUGGGGACUCAGUGGAGACCGACGGGGUCAACUCGGAGGAAGGUGGGGAUGACGUCAAGUCAUCAUGCCCCUUAUGUCCAGGGCUUCACGCAUGCUACAAUGGCUGGUACAGAGAGUGGCGAGCCUGUGAGGGUGAGCGAAUCUCGGAAAGCCGGUCUCAGUUCGGAUUGGGGUCUGCAACUCGACCUCAUGAAGUCGGAGUCGCUAGUAAUCGUAGAUCAGCAACGCUGCGGUGAAUACGUUCCCGGG